rnacentral:tRNA from 1 species
GGGCCGUUAGUUCAAUGGGAGAAUCGCCGGCUUUUACCCGGGCAGAUCAGGGUUCGAGUCCCUGGCGGCCCACGA